UGGGGAAUAUUGCACAAUGGGCGGAAGCCUGAUGCAGCGACGCCGCGUGGGGGAUGAAGGCCUUCGGGUUGUAAACUCCUUUCGACAGGGACGAAGCUUUGGUGACGGUACCUGUAUAAGAAGCACCGGCUCACUACGUGCCAGCAGCCGCGGUAAUACGUAGGGUGCGAGCGUUGUCCGGAAUUACUGGGCGUAAAGAGCUCGUAGGUGGUUUGUCGCGUCGUCUGUGAAAUUCCGGGGCUUAACUCCGGGCGUGCAGGCGAUACGGGCUGACUUGAGUGCUGUAGGGGGGACUGGAAUUCCUGGUGUAGCGGUGAAAUGCGCAGAUAUCAGGAGGAACACCGAUGGCGAAGGCAGGUCUCUGGGCAGUAACUGACGCUGAGGAGCGAAAGCAUGGGUAGCGAACAGG
rnacentral:rRNA from 1 species